rnacentral:rRNA from 1 species
AGGACGAACGCUGGCGGCGUGCCUAAUACAUGCAAGUCGAACGGUCUUUUCUAUGGAAGCUUGCUUUCCACUGAGAAGAUAGUGGCGAACGGGUGAGUAACACGUGGGUAACCUGCCCAUAAGAGGGGGAUAACAUCCGGAAACGGGUGCUAAUACCGCAUAGUUUUCUUGAUCGCAUGAUUGAGAAAGGAAAGACGGCCUUUGUGCUGUCGCUUAUGGAUGGACCCGCGGCGUAUUAGUUAGUUGGUGAGGUAACGGCUCACCAAGACGAUGAUACGUAGCCGACCUGAGAGGGUGAUCGGCCACAUUGGGACUGAGACACGGCCCAAACUCCUACGGGAGGCAGCAGUAGGGAAUCUUCCGCAAUGGACGAAAGUCUGACGGAGCAACGCCGCGUGAGUGAAGAAAAGGUUUUCGGAUCGUAAAACUCUGUUGUCAGAGAAGAACAAGUUGGAGAGUAACUGCUCCAGCCUUGACGGUAUCUGACCAGAAAGCCACGGCUAACUACGUGCCAGCCGCUGC